rnacentral:rRNA from 1 species
GGAAUCUUCCACAAUGGACGAAAGUCUGAUGGAGCAACGCCGCGUGAGUGAAGAAGGGUUUCGGCUCGUAAAACUCUGUUGUUAAAGAAGAACAUAUCUGAGAGUAACUGUUCAGGUAUUGACGGUAUUUAACCAGAAAGCCACGACUAACUACGUGCCAGCAGCCGCGGUAAUACGUAGGAGGCAAGCGUUGUCCGGAUUUAUUGGGCGUAAAGCGAGCGCAGGCGGUUUUUUAAGUCUGAUGUGAAAGCCUUCGGCUCAACCGAAGAAGUGCAUCGGAAACUGGGAAACCUGAGUGCAGAAGAGGACAGUGGAACUCCAUGUGUAGCGGUGAAAUGCGUAGAUAUAUGGAAGAACACCAGUGGCGAAGGCGGCUGUCUGGCCUGUAACUGACGCUGAGGCUCGAAAGUAUGGGUAGCAAACAGGAUUAGAUACCCUGGUAGUCCAUACCGUAAACGAUGAAUGCUAAGUGUUGGAGGGUUUCCGCCCUUCAGUGCUGCAGCUAACGCAUUAAGCAUUCCGCCUGGGGAGUACGACCGCAAGGUUGAAACUUAAAUGAAUUGACGG